CAGUACAGAAAAGAUUAGCAUGGCCCCUGAAUAAAGAUGACAGGCAAAUUUGUGAAGCAUUCUAUAUUAAA
rnacentral:snRNA from 1 species